UUGAAGUUUGAAUACUGGGGUUUGUAGCUGGCCUUUCGGGGCAUGUGCUCGCCUCACUUCAUCCAUAUCACACCUGUGCACCUAUUGUGGGUAUUUUUGAGUGGAAGGGGGGUUGGAUAACGACCUCCUGGAAGCGCAUAUACUCAUGUUUUAUACACCAUUUGUAUGUCUUAGAAUGUCUUUUUUGUGCGUUAACCCGCAUAUAAUA
rnacentral:misc_RNA from 1 species